rnacentral:rRNA from 1 species
CAGCCGCCGCGGUAAUACCGGCGGCCCGAGUGGCGGUCACUAUUAUUGGGCUUAAAGCGUCCGUAGCCGGGUUGGGAAGUCCUCCGGGAAAUCUGGCCGCUUAACGGUCAGAAUGCCGGAGGAUACUCCCAGCCUAGGGAGCGGGAGAGGCCGAGGGUAUUCCCGGGGUGGGGGGGAAAACCUAUAAUCCCGGGAGGACCACCUGUGGCGCAGGCGCUCGGCUGGAACGCGUCCGACGGUGAGGGACGAAGGCCAGGGGAGCAAACCGGAUUAGAUACCCGGGUAGUCCUGGCUGUAAACGAUGCGGCCUUUGUGUCGGACAAGCUAUGAGCUUGUCCGGUGCCGGAGGGAAACCGUUAAGUCCGCCGCCUGGGGAGUACGGCCGCAAGGCUGAAACUUAAAGGAAUUGGGGG